AGAGUUUGAUCCUGGCUCAGAUUGAACGCUGGCGGCAUGCUUUACGCAUGCAAGUCGAACGACAGCACGGGGGCAACCCUGGUGGCGAGUGGCGAACGGGUGAGUAAUGCAUCGGAACGUAUCCUUGAGUGGGAGAUAACGCAGCGAAAGUUGUGCUAAUACCGCAUAAGCUCUGAGGAGGAAAGCGGGGACCGAAAAGACCUCGCGCUGAAGGAGCGGCCGAUGUCCGAUUAGCUAGUUGGUGAGGUAAUGGCGCACCAAGGCGACGAUGGGUAGCCGGCCUGAGAGGGUGAACGGCCACACUGGGACUGAGACACGGCCCAGACUCCUACGGGAGGCGAC
rnacentral:rRNA from 1 species